rnacentral:rRNA from 1 species
GUGGGGAAUAUUGGACAAUGGGCGAAAGCCUGAUCCAGCCAUGCCGCGUGAGUGAUGAAGGCCUUAGGGUUGUAAAGCUCUUUCAGUAGGGAAGAUAAUGACGGUACCUACAGAAGAAGCCCCGGCUAACUUCGUGCCAGCAGCCGCGGUAAUACGAAGGGGGCUAGCGUUGUUCGGAUUUACUGGGCGUAAAGCGCACGUAGGCGGAUUGGUCAGUUAGAGGUGAAAUCCUGGAGCUCAACUCCAGAACUGCCUUUAAUACUGCCAGUCUAGAGUCCAGAAGAAGUGAGUGGAACUCCUAGUGUAGAGGUGGAAUUCGUAGAUAUUAGGAAGAACACCAGUGGCGAAGGCGGCUCACUGGUCUGGUACUGACGCUGAGGUGCGAAAGCGUGGGGAGCAAACAGGAUUAGAUACCCCAGUAGUCC